rnacentral:sRNA from 1 species
GCCGUUUCCGUCUCAUUUUCAAAGGCCGGAUUCGAAGAGAUAUCAUAAAUCCGGAUCAUUUCCCAUGAAAUCAGGGAGGUAAUGGCCGAUAGAUCGCCGACCAGGCACGCUUAAUCGAGUACCGCGUUCCAGCGUCUCAAAUGGACGGGAACAAAAAGCCUCUGGCCUAAAGGAAAACUGGUGAGCAGAGAUGAAGGACACAAAAUAGCAAGAAGAAGCUUUAUUGUGUUGUGCGAACCGAGGACAACAGCCGAUAAUAAACAACAGGAAUGGACCCAUUCGAACAAGGCAUACAUGAACACGGUGCGUCAUGCAUGACGUGGAGGGGUUGAGGCCUCUAAUCGAGUUGGCUGGUACUUCUGAUGCGGUUUGCAAAUUCGCUCAAAUUACCUCACACUCACAGUGAUGACCAUUCUUGUGUAGCCAAGUGACGAUACCGUAACCACCCCUUUCCAAAUGCUAGUAUCUAUAACUUAGUGCUCGAUCUUACCAGGGCAAUCGCUUCAGGUUGCUUCAGAUGUAUCAGUUUCCUGUUCUGCAACGUCGUCGUUCGUACUGCUUCAAAGCGAAGUAAAUGCUACCUGUCCAAAUACAGUACGCCUCCUUCUCCUGGUGUCAGUCUCCCAGCACUUUAUCUAGUCUCAGCUCAGUUGCCGAGAACGUGAUAACAGAAGAGGGUGACUUGUUGAUCGAGUACAGGCACCUACCGAUACUCACCAUUUAUUAAACAAUGUUGUUCCUAUCAUUCGGCUUCUCAGAUGUCAAGAACGUGGUGAUGGUAGGUCGAUACAGGAAGCGCACGAACAGCAGAACCCGGGAAAAUGCUAUACCUUGUUUUACAUACUUGACCUGUGCAAAUGCACCCACAAUGCUCCGUACG